CAGUCGCCGCGGGAAUACAGAGGGUGCGAGCGUUAAUCGGAUUUACUGGGCGCAAAGCGUGCGUAGGCGGCUUCUUAAGUCGGAUGUGAAAUCCCUGAGCUUAACUUAGGAAUUGCAUUCGAUACUGGGAAGCUAGAGUAUGGGAGAGGAUGGUAGAAUUCCAGGUGUAGCGGUGAAAUGCGUAGAGAUCUGGAGGAAUACCGAUGGCGAAGGCAGCCAUCUGGCCUAAUACUGACGCUGAGGUACGAAAGCAUGGGGAGCAAACAGGAUUAGAUACCCGGGUAGUCCCUGUCUCUUAUAA
rnacentral:rRNA from 1 species